AUUGAACGCUGGCGGCAGGCUUAACACAUGCAAGUCGAGCGGGGUGAGGUGCUUCGGUACUGAUCCUAGCGGCGGACGGGUGAGUAAUGCUUAGGAAUCUGCCAUUUAGUGGGGGACAACAUUCCGAAAGGAAUGCUAAUACCGCAUACGUCCUACGGGAGAAAGCAGGGGAUCUUCGGACCUUGCGCUAAAUGAUGAGCCUAAGUCGGAUUAGCUAGUUGGUGGGGUAAAGGCCUACCAAGGCGACGAUCUGUAGCGGGUCUGAGAGGAUGGUCCGCCACGCUGGGACUGAGACACGGCCCAGACUGCUACGGGAGGCAGCAGUGGGGAAUAUUGGACAAUGGGCGGAAGCCUGAUCCAGCCAUGCCGCGUGUGUGAAGAAGGCCUUUUGGUUGUAAAGCACUUUAAGCGAGGAGGAGGCUACCUGGAUUAAUACUCUGGGAUAGUGGACGUUACUCGCAGAAUAAGCACCGGCUAACUCUGUGCCAGCAGCCGCCGUAA
rnacentral:rRNA from 1 species